rfam:Glycine max cultivar Williams 82 chromosome 11, whole genome shotgun sequence.
UAAUGAAGGCAGCAUGGUUGUGUGCUCGGAAAUUGAAAUAUUAGGUCAAUAUGUCUGCUCUCUUUGAUGAACUUAAUGAUAAGAGGGCCUGGUUGCGACCUACAUUU